rnacentral:lncRNA from 13 species
AGGCUCAGAUAAAGAAAGAGAAUACGACGGAGGAUGUCGAGGCAUAUAGCAAACCUGGUGCUAACUCAAUGGCUAUGUCCAGCAGCAAUAUACCAACAGGGAGUGAAGAAGACGGUGGUCGAGCCAGCCACAUGAAAGAAGAGAAUACGGACGAUGACCGAGAUUAUGCCAGAGGGAAUGGAGAGAGGGAGAGGGAGAUAAAGAAGGAGAGUGGGACGCCUGAACCAGAGGAGUCCAGGGAGGCAGAGGAUUGGCCCCAUGAGGGCCACAACAAAGGGGACAGUGGCAAUGGGGGCCACAGCAAAGAGGCUGGACCGAGGGAACCUCUCCACCCUACCACAGGACUGGACCCUCCUCCACCUCCCCCACAGACUGACAGGGACACGCCCCCCUCAGCCAAGAAGACCAAAUUCCGCCCCCCGCCGCUCAAAAAGCCCUCAGACGCCAUUGAAAAGUGAGUGACAGGGAUGGGGGGAUGGGUGCAAUGGGAGGAUAUGAAAACACAUCACCAUCACGUUGCUUCUCUCUGUGGUCACUAUGUGGUACAUUUUUGACAGUUGACAGUUAAGACCAAGUGGAGAAGAAUUUGUAGCCAGGGAAUCAGUUGGUUGGAGCUUGGUGCUUACAUCACUAGCGUUGAGGGUUCCAUCCAGACCCGGCGACAGGAUAACGUGACUAAGGGGGCAGUUGAAAUUGGCAUUUU